rnacentral:lncRNA from 1 species
UGUCAUAGCUACUAUUGGAGUAGAUUCUCUAUAAUGUCAGUUUCAGCCUAGCUAACCCCUGAGGUGAGAGUUAGUUCGACUAACCCAUUUCUCUAUCCUAUCUUUCUUUAUCUCUUUUUUUUUAAAUCUAGCUUCAAUUCGAUGCAGAAAUAAGGCCUAAGGAGCUGGAGGAGUUGAAGAAACUGAAUCAGAGAAAGAGGAAGGCCUCGGCCUUAGCCUUUGGCGAGAC